rnacentral:rRNA from 1 species
GACGAACGCUGGCGGCGUGCUUAACACAUGCAAGUCGAACGGAAAGGCCCUGCUUUUGUGGGGUGCUCGAGUGGCGAAAGGGUGAGUAACACGUGAGUAUCCUGCCCUUGACUUUGGGAUAACUUCAGGAAACUGGUGCUAAUACCGGAUAGGAGCUCCUGCUGCCUGGUGGGGGUUGGAAAGUUUUGGCGGUUGGGGGUGGUCUCGCGGCUUAUCAGCUUGUUGUUGGGGUAGUGGCUUACCAAGGCUUUGACUGGUAGCCGGCAUGAGCGGGUGACCGGCCACAUGGCGAUUGAGAUACGGCCCAGACUCCUGCGGUAGGCAGCAGUGGGGAAUAUUGCAAGAUGGGCUGAAGCCUGAUGCAGGAACGCCGCGUGGGGGAUGACGUCCUUCGGGUUGUAAACCGCGUUCGCCUGUGACGAAGCGUGAGUGACGGUAAUGGGUAGAGAAGCACCGGCUAACUACGUG